AAAAAAAGAAAAACUGUCCAUGUUUUGGUUGAUGAUUUGGGUAAAAAUCCUACAAUUUGCCAAUAAAAAUUAAAUCACCAAAAAACUUGUGCAGGGAGAUGAGUUCCUGUGGUGAGAUUUAUGGAAUUAUGAUUAAGGAUUCAAUUUCGACUCUGCUUCUUUAUCAAUGCCUUAUCUCGUUUUUAUUUUCACUAUUGGUUUUCCUCAUUUUCUAUAAAGAAGUUCCCGGAGGCUAUUGGGUCAAAUUAGCUGUUUAAGGUUGUGCCUUGACCUUUAACAGGAACCAAAUCACUUUGCUUGUGCUCAUUUUCAUGUUGAUGAAAACUAAAUCUGUUUGAACUGGGAAGAACACCUUCAAAAAU
rnacentral:misc_RNA from 1 species